rnacentral:rRNA from 1 species
AGUGAACGCUGGCGGUAGGCCUAACACAUGCAAGUCGAACGGCAGCACAGUAAGAGCUUGCUCUUACGGGUGGCGAGUGGCGGACGGGUGAGGAAUACAUCGGAAUCUACUUUUUCGUGGGGGAUAACGUAGGGAAACUUACGCUAAUACCGCAUACGACCUACGGGUGAAAGCAGGGGAUCUUCGGACCUUGCGCGAUUGAAUGAGCCGAUGUCGGAUUAGCUAGUUGGCGGGGUAAAGGCCGACCAAGGCGACGAUCCGUAGCUGGUCUGAGAGGAUGAUCAGCCACACUGGAACUGAGCCACGGUCCAGACUCCUACGGGAGGCAGCAGUGGGGAAUAUUGGACAAUGGGCGCAAGCCUGAUCCAGCCAUACCGCGUGGGUGAAGAAGGCCUUCGGGUUGUAAAGCCCUUUUGUUGGGAAAGAAAAGCAGCAGGUUAAUACCCCGCUGUUCUGACGGUACCCAAAGAAUAAGCACCGGCUAACUUCGUG